UACGUAGUGUGCGAGCGUUGUCCGGACUUCUUGGGCGUAAAGAGCUUGUAGGCGGUUUGUCGCGUCUGCUGUGAAAUUUCGGGGCUCAACCCCGAACUUGCAGUGGGUACGGGCAGACUAGAGUGUGGUAGGGGAGACUGGAAUUCCUGGUGUAGCGGUGAAAUGCGCAGAUAUCAGGAGGAACACCGAUGGCGAAGGCAGGCCUCUGUGCCACUACUGACGCUGAGAAGCGAAAGCAUGGGGAGCGAACACG
rnacentral:rRNA from 1 species